CCCGCGCGCCCGGGUGGGGGCGUCCAGGGCCCGGUCCCCGGCUGGCCUGGGGCGAGGGCGCAGCCGGGAGAUUCCGGGGCUGCCGGGCGGUGGCCUCUCGCCGGCCCCUCUCUCCUCCCCGCGGGCUCUCCGCACUGCCCGGGCUACGGGCGGCCACGCCGAGGCUCCGAGAGAAAGGAAAAUUGCAAACCUCACCUACAACUAGACUGAGAGCAUAAUUUCUUAGGAAUCAAGAAUCAACACUGGGUUAUUUCUUAAGAUUAAACCUUGAAAGCCCACUUGGAGGCUGCAGCAGGGGAGCAUAGCCAUCUACACACUUGAGAAUGAAAAAUGAUCUUCUUUCGUCAGGGAGGUCUCCUUCCUCAGCUAACCCACCGGAGUGGUGAGAAGAAGGGCCCCCUACCCAAUCGAACUCACCUAGAUGAAUAAAAUUGGCCCUUUUUAGCAAGGAAUGGGAGCUGCACAAGGGUGGCCAGAUCACAUCUUCUGCUAACUCCACCACAGAGCAACUCUCUCCAGGACUACAACCUAUGUUUGGGUCAUGCCCUAUACAAGGGCACCUGGAGUGGGAGGUGAAAUCCUGCCCUGGCUUCACUCACCAAGCAGGGUGUAUUGGUAUGUGGCUAUAUUUACCUGAAGGAUGUGGAUCCUUUUUCUAAUUUGCACCAAGACUUAUUUGCACCUUGUAUGGGCUAGUGCCAACUCUGACCAACCCACCCCCCUACCUGAGUCCUGUCUAGGGUAUAUGCCUUACUUUGGAUGAAGUAGUGAUUAUCAUGAACAAAUUAGGCUUAUGGUAAAAGAUGAAAUAUUUGAUGCAAAUUGAAAUUAAUUUCAUAGGUAAAGCCCAGAAUCUUACCAUGAAUGUGAAUUAUGUAUGUAUGUAUAUGUGUGUGUAUAUAUAGUUACAUGGGUAUGUAUUUUUAUGUAUAAGAAGUUAGGAUAAUUUAAAUUUGGUAAGUAUUUAAAAUAAAACUAUUUUGAGUUUCGGAA